rnacentral:rRNA from 1 species
AACGAACGCUGGCGGCAGGCCUAACACAUGCAAGUCGAGCGAGGACUUCGUUCCUAGCGGCGGACGGGUGAGUAACGCGUGGGAACGUGCCCUUUGCUUCGGAAUAGCCCUGGGAAACUGGGAGUAAUACCGGAUGAGCCCUUCUGGGGAAAGAUAUAUCGGCGAAGUAUCGGCCCGCGUUGUAUUAGGUGGUUGGUGGUGUAUUGGCCUACCAAGCCGACGCUCCAUAGCUGGUUUUAGAGGAUGAUCCGCCACCCUGGGACUGGGACAAGGCCCAGACUCCGGCGGGAGGCAGCAGGGGGGAAUCUUAGAUAAUGGGGGAAACACGGAGCUAGCCAUGCCGUGAGAGCGAUGAAGGCGUUAGGGAUGUAAAGCUCUUUCAGCUGGGAAGAUAAUGACGGUACCAGCAGAAGAAGCCCCGGCUAACUCCGU